rnacentral:lncRNA from 1 species
GCCUGAACAUGUUAUUGCUAUUUUAUCCAUUUAUUUCAUAAUUUACGCUGAUUAAGAGACAUCUGUGGUGUCCCUACCAAUUCAGCCAGCUCAAAUGUCUAUGUGGGCUAAAGUUUCCAACAUUGCUGAUUCGGUGUCAUGACUCAUGGGCAAACGUCCAAGAUUAAUUGCAGUACCUACCGAUUUAGAUCAUAUGUCGUCAAAAGUUUCUUACUCAUUCAAAUCUCAUAAUUGUUCGGUCCUACGUAACUUUAUUUAACCAACU